rnacentral:rRNA from 1 species
AACUAACGCUGGCGGCAGGCCUAACACAUGCAAGUCGAGCGCGCCCUUCGGGGUGAGCGGCGGACGGGUGAGUAACGCGUGGGAACGUGCCCUUCUCUGCGGAAUAUCCUCGCGAAACUGAGAUUAAUACCGCAUACGCCCUUUGGGGGAAAGAUUUAUCGGAGAAGGAUCUGCCCGCGUUGGAUUAGGUAGUUGGUGGGGUAAUGGCCCACCAAGCCGACGAUCCAUAGCUGGUUUGAGAGGAUGAUCAGCCACACUGGGACUGAGACACGGCACAGACUCCUACGGGAGGCAGCAGUGGGGAAUCGUAGACAAUGGGGGCAACCCUGAUCUAGACAUGCCGCGUGAGUGAUGAAGGCCUUAGGGUUGUAAAGCUCUUUCAGCUGGGAAGAUAAUGACGGUACCAGAAGAAGAAGCCACGGCUAACUCCGUG